UACGUAGGCAGCAAGCGUUGUUCGGAGUUACUGGGCGUAAAGGGUGCGUAGGCGGCCCUGUAAGUAUGGUGUGAAAUCUCCCGGCCUAACUGGGAGGGUGCGCUAUAGACUGCGGGGCUCGAGUGUGGGAGAGGAAAGUGGAAUUCCUGGUGUAGCGGUGAAAUGCGUAGAUAUCAGGAGGAACACCGGUGGUGUAAACGGCUUUCUGGACCAUAACUGACGCUGAGGCACGAAAGCGUGGGUAGCAAACAGG
rnacentral:rRNA from 1 species